GAUGAACGCUGACAGAAUGCUUAACACAUGCAAGUCGAUGGGGAAGUGGUGCUUGCCCCAUGGCAACCAUGGCGGACGGGUGAGUAACGCGUAAGGGACUUACCUGCAGGACUGGGAUAACAGGGGGAAACUCCUGACAAGACCGGAUAAUGUCAUGGAGCUGCAUGGCUUUAUGAUGAAAGGAGACGCCUGCGGAGAGCCUUGCGUCCUAUUAGCUAGUUGGUGAGGUAAUGGCUCACCAAGGCGAAGAUAGGUAGCCGGCCUGAGAGGGUGGACGGCCACAAGGGGACUGAGAUACGGCCCUUACUCCUACGGGAGGCAGCAGUGGGGAAUAUUGGACAAUGGGGGCAACCCUGAUCCAGCAAUUCUGUGUGCACGAAGAAGGUUUUCGGAUUGUAAAGUGCUUUCAGCAGGGAAGAAGUAAGUGACGGUACCUGCAGAAGAAGCGACGGCUAAAUACGUG
rnacentral:rRNA from 1 species